UACGUAGGGUGCGAGCGUUGUCCGGAAUUAUUGGGCGUAAAGGGCGCGUAGGCGGCCUGCUAAGUCGAACGUGAAAUCCCUGGGCUCAACCCAGGAACUGCGUCCGAUACUGGUUGGCUUGAAUCCGGGAGAGGGAUGUGGAAUUCCAGGUGUAGCGGUGAAAUGCGUAGAUAUCUGGAGGAACACCGGUGGCGAAGGCGACAUCCUGGACCGGUAUUGACGCUGAGGCGCGAAAGCCAGGGGAGCAAACGGG
rnacentral:rRNA from 1 species